UCUGUUGCCAUCAGCCCAGUACAGGCCUGCACCAAAAUGUACCCACAAUAUUUCCAGGUGGGUUCCCACCGGGAGGACACCCGAGCAGCCGAGGACUCACAGCCACCGCACCUGCGGGGUGCAUCCAGCCAGCGACGAGGAUAACUGCAAUUGGAAAAAAAAAAAAAAAAAAAAAAAAAAAGAAAUGAAAAAAUAAAAAAUAAAGACCUUCUCCAUUUGGCGACGAGCAGAACGACUUUUCACUGAUUGCACUUGAAACGGUUUCUGCAGGAGGAAGAUGCGUUCGAAGAGAAACAGACACUUCUGUAUGUGAAGAUUUCGAUCAGAGGCAGCGGCGGUGUGGAUCCGAAGGCUGGAUUUCUUUUUACGGCACAGCUGAGGAAAAGUUGAAGUCCUUUGAGGAAGAGGAGCCGCAACACAUUCAGGAGUUUGCCAACAAACAAACGGAUGCAAUUAAACACACUCGCCUUCAGAUCAUCUUUGAGGAGACAAAGUCGAGUCUGGUGGAAAGCCGACAAGGACAAACAAGGAGGGAAAGGACUCUGCUGCCUCAAGGUUAACAUUGACUGAAUGAACUCUGUGAGGAGCUUGUCUUCACACUAGCAGCCCUUCCACAAAGACACAUCAGUCACUGCUUUUUACAGUAUCUGUGCUCUUUUUAGAAGUUGACACAAUACUUAAUUGAUGUUUUAUUUUCGUAUCGCCGCAGAAAAAUCAAACCACUUUUAUUUAUUGACACACUUCUGUUUAUUCUAUGACUUGUAAUUAAUUCACAGUUACUAUGCAAAUAAAGACAUUUAUGGUGCUUUCAUUGUAAGAGCACCACCAUGCUCUCCUUUUCCCCUCUCCUUUCACCUAGCCCUCCUCUAUGUGCUGCUGAGGUGUCUGCAUGGUGUGGUAAAAUCUGCCCUGCAGACUGGACCUCUCAAGUCUUCAAAGGAGGAAGAACUCAAUGUGGGGGAUUUGUUCAGGCUUAUUUGGUAACCUAGGAUUUGAAUUGGAUUCUGGGAAGCAUUCAUAACACAUUUGAAAAUGUUACAUUGUGUGAUUUUGUGUGUAAUCCCCAUAAUAAAUUUUAGAAAUGGUCACAGCACUUGCACAACUGUGACUAUUCAUGAUUUAU